rnacentral:misc_RNA from 1 species
GAUGAAGAACGUAGCAAAAUGCGAUAAGUAGUGUGAAUUGCAGAAUUCAGUGAAUCAUCGAAUCUUUGAACGCACAUUGCGCCCCUUGGUAUUCCAUGGGGCAUGCCUGUUCGAGCGUCAUUUGUACCUUCAAGCUCUGCUUGGUGUUGGGUGUUUGUCUCGCCUCUGCGUGUAGACUCGCCUUAAAACAAUUGGCAGCCGGCGUAUUGAUUUCGGAGCGCAGUACAUCUCGCGCUUUGCACUCAUAACGACGACGUCCAAAAGUACAUUUUUACACUCUUGACCUCGGAUCAGGUAGGGAUACCCGCUGAACUUAAGCAUAUCAAUAAGCGGAGGA